UUGCUUAAUCAUUCUUCUUUGGCUUCACGUGGGUGUUGGCAAGCAUCAUCAUUACCAUUUUGGGCUCCACAUUCAAUGUGAAGCCCAAAAUGGUAAUGAUGAUGCUUGCCAACACCCACGUGAAGCCAAAGAAGAAUGAUUAAGCAAC
rnacentral:miRNA from 1 species